rnacentral:misc_RNA from 1 species
CGGGCGAGACGCCAGCUCGGCGCAUGUUAGAGAAGAGGGUGAGAGCAAGGGAGGGAGAUGAAGAAGCAUGGGUUCUAAUGAGGCUGUUGUAUGCAAAGGUAACUUUUGUACCAAACAAUGGGUUCACAACCAUCCUAAAACUCCAUGGAUGCAAAUGCUAGUGCUCAAGACGAGAAGCGUCUGCAAGUUUCAGUCCUGAUCACUGUUAUUUUAG